UACAGAGGGGGCAAGCGUUGUUCGGAAUUACUGGGCGUAAAGCGCACGCAGGCGGUCUUGUAAGUUUGACGUGAAAGCUCCCGGCUUAACUGGGAGAGGUCGUUGAAGACUGCAAGACUUGAGGAAAUGAGAGGGGUGUAGAAUUCCCGGUGUAGUGGUGGAAUGCGUAGAUAUCGGGGGGAAUACCAGUGGCGAAAGCGGCACCCUAGCAUUUUUCUGACGCUCAUGUGCGAAAGCGUGGGGAGCGAACGGG
rnacentral:rRNA from 1 species